rnacentral:rRNA from 1 species
AGUGGCGAACGGGUGAGUAAUACAUCGGAACGUGUCCUGUAGUGGGGGAUAGCCCGGCGAAAGCCGGAUUAAUACCGCAUACGCUCUACGGAGGAAAGGGGGGGAUCUUAGGACCUCCCGCUACAGGGGCGGCCGAUGGCAGAUUACCUAGUUGGUGGGGUAAAGGCCUACCAAGGCGACGAUCUGUAGCUGGUCUGAGAGGACGACCAGCCACACUGGGACUGAGACACGGCCCAGACUCCUACGGGAGGCAGCAGUGGGGAAUUUUGGACAAUGGGGGCAACCCUGAUCCAGCAAUGCCGCGUGUGUGAAGAAGGCCUUCGGGUUGUAAAGCACUUUUGUCCGGAAAGAAAACGCCGUGGUUAAUACCCGUGGCGGAUGACGGUACCGGAAGAAUAAGCACCGGCUAACUACGUGCCAGCAGCCGCGGUAAUACGUAGGGUGCAAGCGUUAAUCGGAAUUACUGGGCGUAAAG